UACGUAGGUGGCAAGCGUUGUCCGGAUUUAUUGGGUUUAAAGGGUGCGUAGGCGGUCUUAUAAGUCAGUGGUGAAAUACGGCAGCUCAACUGCCGAGGUGCCAUUGAUACUGUAGGACUUGAGUACAGACGAGGUAGGCGGAAUUGACGGUGUAGCGGUGAAAUGCUUAGAUAUCGUCAAGAACACCGAUAGCGAAGGCAGCUUACUAGGCUGUAACUGACGCUGAGGCACGAAAGUGUGGGGAUCAAACAGG
rnacentral:rRNA from 1 species